AUCCCAUGUUUAAUCUUCAGAAGGUGUGUGAGGAAUAACAUGUUUGCUUUUGAAAGAUGCCUUGUAGACUGUGCGCAGUGGCUCAUGCCUGUAAUCCCAGCACUUUGGGAGGCUGAGGAGAGCGGAUCACCUGAGGUCAGGAGUUUGAAACCAGCCUGGUCAACAUGGUGAAACGCCAUCUCUAUUAAAAAUACAAAACUUAGCCAGGCGUUGUGGCGGGCACCUGUAAUCCCAGCUACUAAGGAGGCUGAGGUAGAAGAAUUGCUUGAACCUGGGAGGCAGAGGCUGCAGUGAGCUGAGAUCAUGCCACUGCACUCCAGCCUGGGCAACAGAGCAAGACUCCAUCUCAAAAAAAAAAAAAAAGAUGCCUUGUCUUCAAGCAAACUAUUAUUAAGGAUGAGUUGCUUAUUUGUAUUAAAAAGAGGGCUCAAACUGUCUUCCUGCCUCAUCCUCCCAAUUAGCUGGGAUUUCAAGUGCAUGCCAACCCACACAGCCUUUUCUUUUUCAUUUUCCUUUCUUUUUUUUUUUUGAGGCAGGAUCUUGCUGUGUUGCCCAGGCUGGAGUGCAGUGGUGCAAUCGCACUUCAUUGCAGCCUGGACCUCCUGAGCUCAAGUGAGCCUCCCACCUCAGCCUCUUAAGAAGCUGGGACUGCAGACACAUGCCAGCAAUACACCUGGCUAAUAUUUUAAUUUAAUUUUUUCUAGAGACAGGGUCUCACAAUGUUGCCCAGACUGGUCUCGAACUCCUGGAUCAAGCAGUUUGCCCACCUCAGCCUCCCAAAAUGUUGCAAUUACAGGCUUGAGCCUUUUUAUUAUUUAUUUAUUUAUUUAUUUAUUUAUUUAUUUAUUUAUUUUGAGAUGGAGUCUUGCUCUUUGUUGCCCAGGGUGGAGUACAAUGGCGCGACCUUGGCUAACUGCAACCUCCACCUCUCGGGUUCAAGCGAUUCUCCUGCCUCAGCCUCCUCAGCAGCUGGGACUACAGGUGCGUGCCACCACACCCGGCUAAUUUUUUGUAUUUUUUUGUAGAGACGGGGUUUCACCGUGUUAGCCAAGAUGGUCUCAAUCUCCUGACCUCGUGAUCUGCCCGCCUCGGACUCCCAAAAUGCUGGGAUUACAGGCGUGAGCCACCGUGCCCGGCCUGAGCCUUUUUAUUUUUAAAAGUGGCUUUCCAUUUUCUUUCUGUGGCAAUUUCAAGAGGCAUGGUGUGUUAUUAUCCCUGAGCUUUCUUGGGUAUUAAAAAAAGGCCAUGGGACUGGGCGCGGUGGCUCACGCCUGUAAUCCCAGCACUUUGGGAGGCUGAGGUGGGCGGACCACCUGAGGUCAGGAGUUCAAGACCAGUUUGACCAACAUGGUGAAACCCUAUCUCUACUAAAAUACAAAAAAAUUAGCCGCGCGUAGUGACAGGUGCCUGUAGUCUCAGCUACUUGGGAGGCUGAGGCGGGAGAAUUGCUUGAAACCAGGAGGCAGAGGUUGCAGUGAGCCAAGAUUGCGCCAUUGCACUUCAGCCUGGGCAACAAGAGACUCUGUCUCACAUAAAAAAAAAAAAAAAAAGAGGCCAUGGGGCUGGGCGCAGUGGCUCACACCUGUAAUGCCAACACUUUGGAAGGCCAGGGUGGGAGGAUCACUUGAGCCUAGGAGUUCCAGGCUGCAGUGAGCUAUGGUCAUGCCAUUGUACUCCAACAUGGGUGACAGAGUGAGACCUUGUCUCAAACAUAAUAAUAAUAAUAAUAGUAAUAAUAAAAUGAAAAUAGGUGGUGGCAGCUCCCACUUCAUCUUUAUUUUUUAUUUCAGAGGCACUUAUAAACCAGGAGAAUUAUGUGGAAAAGGAGUCCCCCGAUAUAACCCAAGACUCAGGAAAUUCUUGCUCCUCUUGGCAGGGAUGCAGCUGAAAUUUACCUUUAGUUAGCAUACUCCUCAGAUAGGGCAAAUGAAUUGUGCAAAGAUCAAAAUGGGGCUUUUUUUUUUUUUUUUUUU
rnacentral:lncRNA from 1 species